CUCAGUCCAAGUUAGCGCGCCAUUUGAAAACUCAUAUGGCUGAAGUUGAAGUUGUUCAGGCUUUGUCACUCCCAGUUCACUCAAAAGAACGUAAAGCAAUGCUGCAAAAGCUCAGGAACAAGGGCAACUUUCAGCAUAACACUGAUGUUUUACAGUCUGGAGAGGGGGCUCUUAAAAUAAAACGAGCACCAAAAAGAAAGUGUGAUUCAAAGCAGUUUUUGCAUUGCAUGUACUGCAAAGGGUUGUUUGUACGGAGAGAUCUGUGGCGUCAUUUAAAAAGAUGUCCCUCAAAACCAGCAGCUGACAGUGAAGAGCAAGGGAGGAGGAGAGUCUUGGGCCUGGCAUCUAUGGCAGAGUCUUCAUUCAGUCAGCACAUAUCACAAGGAGUUUGGAAACUCUUAGGUGUGAUGAAGCAGGAUGACAUUUCCGCUGUGGUCAAAAAUGACCUGAGUAUUCUUCAGCUUGCACAGUCGUUUUUUAACAAACAUGGUCAUGACCCUACCAAAUGUGAGUAUAUUCGACAAAAACUCCGUGAAGUUGGAAGAUUGUUGCUGACUUUGCGUAGACAGUUUUCUGUGUACAGUCUUGAAGAAGCUCUGAAACCUGCCAAUUUUCAUAGACUUAUUCGAGCGGUUCAAAUGGUGUCUGGCUAUGAUGCUGAGAGCCACUGCUACCAAAGCCCAAGCCUUGCCCUGAAACUGGGGCAUUCGUUGAAUAAGAUUUGUGAAAUCAUUCAGUGCCGAGCACUGAUGUCUGAAGACAAGGAAUUGAUCUCAUCAACAGAGACCUUCAAAAAGCUCUACUCCUCAAAGUGGUCUGAGAUGAUCUCACACACUGCUUUGGUGACACUGAAUGAGGCCAAAUUUAACAAGCCAUCAACACUUCCCUUCACCCAGGAUGUCCAGUCUCUUCAUCAGCUCCUUGAGAAGACUGCAGAUACUGCUUUUCAGAAACUACAAGAGACGGCAUCUCCUCAAAGCUAUGCGGAACUGGCCAAAGCAACCCUCACCAGAAUCAUUGUUUUCAACCGCAGACGUGCAGGAGAGGUCUCUAAAAUGCCGCUGAAGGCUUUCAAUGAAAGGGACGGCACUUCUCUCCAUGAAGAUGUAGCGAUGGGCCUGAGCAAGUUUGAGCAGAAACUCUGCAGCCAUUUCAGUCGAGUUGAGAUCAGGGGGAAGAGGGGAAGAAAGGUUGCGGUUCUUCUCUCUCCUGAUAUGGUCGAUGCCCUGAUGCUACUGGUCAGCAGGAGAGGUACAUGUGGAGUGCUAGACACUAAUACUUUCUUGUUUGCUCGGCCAAACUGCCUGAGUUACUACAGAGGCCAGGACUCUCUGAGGGUAUAUGCAAGGGAAUGUGGAGCUCAAAAUCCAGAAUUUCUCAGAUCCACUCAUCUUCGCAAGCACGUGGCUACACUCUCUCAAAUCCUAAACCUGAAAAACAACGAGUUAGAUCAGGUUGCUGAUUUCUUAGGGCAUGACAUCCGUGUCCACCGUGACUAUUACAGACUGCCAGAAGCCACUACUCAGCUUGCUAAAAUAUCAAAGCUACUGUUAGCCAUGGAAAAGGGCUGCCUUCCUAAUCUUCAAGGCAAAUCCCUUGAUGACAUUGAGAUUGAAGGUACGUCCAUCCUAGCAUGUUUAGCACAGCGGGUCUUUUAAACUCACAGGGAGGUUUAAGAAAAGUAAUCUCUGAAAUAUGUCUUGUGUUCGUUGUCAUUAGGAAUGGUUUAUAAAUGGUGUGUGAUUGUGUUAUUUCACUUCUGAAUGCAGAUGUUUUUCAUGUUCUGAGUUUUAUUUUUCAUUGAAGAUGAGAUCAUCAUGACGGAUUCUGAUGACAGUGAUUCUGAAGAAAGUGAAUCUGAUGAUGAGGCUCUUGCUGGAGCUGCGGGAAACUCCAGUAAUGCUGGUGUUCAGAAGAUGCCCAUUGAGAGCACCACUGAACUUCCUGAAGAGAGUGAGAGUGAGGCAGAAACUGAAAACCCACGGAGAGGGCAGAAGGUGUCCUGGUCAAAUGCUGAAGUUACAGCUGUAAUGAAACAUUUUAAGGGCCACAUAGCUAAAGGAAAACUGGCCACACUGACUGAAUGCCAGCAGUGUAAAUCUGCUGAGGAUCCUGUUUUGGUGAGACGCAGUGCACAGAACAUAAGGGAUUUUGUAAGAAAUCGAGGAAUUAGCUUAAAAAGGAAAACCCAAAGCAAGUGAUGUUACAGUACAUUUUGUGUGUUCUUGAUGCCAUUCAAUUAACAUUAGCACUUUGGCUGUUGUUUUUAUUUCCCAUAGUGCAAUACUGUUAUGCCAGCAAUUCAUACGAAUAUCUCCUUGUAGAAAUCGAGGGUGACUGUUA